UGGGGAAUAUUGGGCAAUGGGCGAAAGCCUGACCCAGCAACGCCGCGUGAAGGAAGACGGUCUUCGGAUUGUAAACUUCUUUAAUUGGGGAAGAAAUAAAUGACCUACCCAAAGAAUAAGUCACGGCUAACUACGUGCCAGCAGCCGCGGUAAUACGUAGGUGACAAGCGUUAUCCGGAUUUACUGGGCGUAAAGGGCGUGUAGGCGGCUUAGCAAGUCAGAUGUGAAAUUCUUGGGCUCAACCCGAGAGCUGCAUCUGAAACUGCUGAGCUUGAGUGCUGGAUGGGAUAGCGGAAUUCCUGGUGGAGCGGUAAAAUGCGCAGAUAUCAGGAAGAACACCGGUGGCGAAGGCGGCUAUCUGGACAGUAACUGACGCUGAGGCGCGAAAGCGUGGGGAGCA
rnacentral:rRNA from 1 species